GAGUUUGAUCUUGGCUCAGGAUGAACGCUAGCGGCAGGCCUAAUACAUGCAAGUCGAACGAUAGUUGUCAGCUUGCUGAUAACGAAAAGUGGCGCACGGGUGCGUAACGCGUAUGCAACCUACCUUAAUCAGGGGGAUAGCCCGAAGAAAUUCGGAUUAACACCGCAUAAAAACACAGUACAGCAUUGUACAAUGUUCAAAUAUUUAUAGGAUUAAGAUGGGCAUGCGUGACAUUAGUUAGUUGGCGGGGUAACGGCCCACCAAGACCACGAUGUCUAGGGGAUCUGAGAGGAUGACCCCCCACACUGGUACUGAGACACGGACCAGACUCCUACGGGAGGCAGCAGUAAGGAAUAUUGGUCAAUGGAGGCAACUCUGAACCAGCCAUGCCGCGUGCAGGAAGACAGCCCUCUGGGUCGUAAACUGCUUUUUAUUCGGGAAUAAACCUAUUUACGUGUAGAUAGCUGAAUGUACCGAAGGAAUAAGGAUCGGCUAACUCCGUGCCAGCCGCCGCGGU
rnacentral:rRNA from 1 species